rnacentral:rRNA from 1 species
AUCGAACGCUGGCGGCAGGCCUAAUACAUGCAAGUCGAACGAGUGGCGGACGGGCGAGUAAUGUAUGGGAAACUGCCUGAUGGAGGGGGAUAACUACUGGAAACGGUAGCUAAUACUGCAUACCAUCAGAUGUGCCCAGAUGGGUUUAGCUGGUUGGUGGGGUAACGGCUCACCAAGGCGACGAUCCCUAGCUGGUCUGAGAGGAUGACCGGCCACACUGGGACUGAGACACGGUCCAGACUCCUACGGGAGGCAGCAGUAGGGAAUAUUGGGCAAUGGACGCAAGCCUGACGCAGCCAUGCCGCGUGUAUGAAGAAGGCCUUCGGGUUGUAAAGUACUUUUGGCGGGGAAGCGUUACCCACAGAAAAAGCACCGGCUAACUCCGUGCCAGCAGCCGCGGUAAUAC